CACGUAGGCACCAAGCGUUGUCCGGAUUUAUUGGGCGUAAAGAGCUCGUAGGCGGUUCGGUAAGUCGGGUGUGAAAACUUUGGGCUCAACCCAAAGCCUGCACUCGAUACUGCUGUGACUUGAGUCCGGUAGGGGAGUGGGGAAUUCCUGGUGUAGCGGUGGAAUGCGCAGAUAUCAGGAAGAACACCGGUGGCGAAGGCGGCUCGCUGGGCCAGUUCUGACACUCAUCCGCGAAAGCGUGGGGAGCAAACAGG
rnacentral:rRNA from 1 species